UUUUUUUCUUCAAAGACACUUAAUUUGGUGACUAUUCAUUUUUACCUGUCAAAAAAAAAUCCUUUGCAUUUCAUUAAGUCUGAGUCAGGAAGCUUAGCGCUAAGGCCUUAUUUUAAGAUACACUGUGGAAUUAAAGCUUUCUGCAGGGUGAGCACAAGUCUUUCUCCAAGGACACAUCAGUUGGAACCUGCUUUUCAGAAAAAUUUGUUUGGCAAUUAACAGUAAUAUGAAGAAGAAAGCAUGUCUUGUACUUAAUGCAGAAAAGUAAGACUCAGCAUGUUUGCGUCCUCUUAUUACUCUCUUACCAUUCUUCUAUGACCUUCAUCAAGACAUGCUCCGAUUUUCAAAUGUCAGUUUGGGUUAGGGUGGAGUUUUCUGUUGUUGUUUCAAGAGGAACCGAGUGCCUACAAAUUGUGGUGUUGAGCGAGAAGCCUACAGUGCUUUGUUCAUCUGGAAGUCCCCCCAAGCGAGGCAGAGGAUAGUGAAGGAACACGUCAGACCUUGGACCUUUGCCACACAGAUUUUCAAAUGAUGACAGUUGCUCACCAAGCCACCCAGCUGUGGCACUGACGUUUGUAUUGGUGUUUUGACACACCUUAAGUACUAUGGUGUUUUAAUGGUUUGACAUGACAAAAUAGAAAAGGAAUAUAUAAAGCCAAGAGCUUGAAGAGCUUAAAAGAGCACUUACAUUUUGACCUUUUUGUUCGUUUUCCUCAUGCCACUCUGGGAAUAGCAGGCAAAUGCCGCUUUUCCCUAGGGAAAAAUUUAAGAGUCUUUAAUAUAGUCUUCCCUAUUGCUUCUGAAUUCUGGAAGUUACCCAGAGAAACCCUCUAAAUGGCAGCGUGUGUGCAGCGUGGAGCACAGUGUGGUUCAGUUUACCUUUUUUUUUUUUUCUCCUAGGAGGGCUAAAUAAUGGAAAGUGAAAGGCAUUUCUCCCUCCUCCCCCCCCCCCCCUUUUGUUAAUUCCUUUUUCUGUAUAAAUCAAAAACCCAAGAAAACCAGGAAGCACAAGUAAGCUAUCUAUUAAAAAGUGUGGCUUUUGGGAAGUGUUGGAGAAUAUAUGUGUGUUUUAAAAUGUCUUAAACAGGAAGUGGCUUCAGAAGUAACUGUAGAAUAAGCAGAACCAUCUUCAUUUGGCCUCCUGCGUGACAAAACUGAUGGGUUUCAUUCAUUCAAUUUAUGCAUCAAGCCAGUAACUUCUAAUGAAGCAGCAGCUGAUCUGGAAAGAUCCAGUCUGGGGAUUUGAGCAAGAAAGCCACUGGUUAGGUGCCACCCAGCCUUGUUUACUGUUGUGCAACAGAAAGCUUAACAACUCCAUCCUUUCAGUGUGCAGAUGAAAUGGGAUGAAGAAAACGAAAAGGCAGACUAUCUUGACACAGAUCUGUGGCACAACCUCAAGCAGACUGCUGUGGUAUAGCCAUCCACAGCCAUCUCAAAGAGACUUGGAACUUCAGAGGAUUCAAAGAAAAGCAACAAGUAGGAUCAAGAGCAUGGCAAUUCACAAAAGAUUGAAAACAUCUGGAUUAUUAUCUUCAGAGAAAAACAGUGGAGAGAGAAUAAAAGUACAUGAAGUAAUGUCUGGUACAGACUGAUCAGGAGGUUCUCUUUUUCCUGUCUCAUACUGUAGAAUAAAGGGACUUUCUGUGAACUAUCAAACUAAAGGUAGGAUAUUUAAAAUUGAAAAAUAAAAA